rnacentral:rRNA from 1 species
UACGAAGGGUGCAAACGUUGCUCGGAAUCAUUGGGCGUAAAGCGCACGUAGGCGGCUUCAAAAGUCGGAUGUGAAAUCCCACGGCUCAACCGUGGACGUGCAUCCGAAACUGGGAGGCUUGAGUACUGAAGAGGAUCGCGGAAUUCCCGGUGUAGAGGUGAAAUUCGUAGAUAUUCGGAAGAACACCAGUGGCGAAGGCGGCUCACUGGACCGGCAUUGACGCUGAGGUGCGAAAGCGUGGGGAGCAAACAGG